rnacentral:tRNA from 1 species
UGUGAGGUAGCACAGUGGAAGAGCACCAGGCCUGGAGUCUGGAAGACCUGGGUUCAGAUCUGGCCUCAUAU